rnacentral:lncRNA from 1 species
UUCUGAAGCUGUUGGCCUCAACAGCUUCCCCUGACUCACUUCCUCCCAAAGGCAGGGUUUGGAUUACCCAGCAAUGCCAGCAGACCCUCACUGCCAGUCAUAUGCUAUGUCUUUGGCGUGGAACUUUAUUUGAAUUGUGUGUGACCUGUGUGCAGCACAAGGCUAGCCUCUGAUGAAAUACAAAGCCUAAAAUUAUUCUUGCAGUCCUUCUCCAGAAAGAACUGUACAUAGUUCUUCUACAGUAUAUGUUGUAUUCAUUUCCUAAACAUGAUUGAAAACAUCCUAUACAGAGUACCAAGACUUGCUUAAGAUUAGAAAUUUAUUCCAGACACAGACCUGGGAGAAACACUGAAACUCUGAAAAAGAAAGAAGAUCCCUUGGUUGAUAACUACCUGCUGUAUUCCUGAAGUGCAGAUUUGGAAUCUUUCCACAAAGAUGAACAGAGGACCAUCUUCUUCUGACUGCCAGCUGGCACUAGUAGUGAUGCCAGGGAUCCCUUCUGGUUUCAGAGAGAAGCACACCAGUACGCAGGAGAGGAAUGCUUGUC